CCUACGGGUGGCAGCAGUGAGGAAUAUUGGUCAAUGAACGAGAGUCUGAACCAGCCACGUAGCGUGAAUGAUGACUGCCCUAGGGGUGGUAAACUUCUUUUAUAAAGGAAUAAAACGAGGCACGUGUGCCUAUUUGCAUGUACUUUAUGAAUAAGGAUCGGCUAACUCCGUGCCAGCAGCCGCGGUAAUACCGAGGAUCCGAGCGUUAUCCGGAUUUAUUGGGUUUAAAGGGAGCGUAGAUGGGUUGUUAAGUCAGUUGUGAAAGUUUGCGGCUCAACCGUAAAAUUGCAAUUGAUACUGGCAGUCUUGAGUGCAGUUGAGGUAGGCGGAAUUCGUGGUGUAGCGGUGAAAUGCUUAGAUAUCACGAAGAACCCCGGUUGCGAAGGCAGCUUACUAAACUGUGACUGACAUUGAUGCUCGAAAGUGUGGGUAUCAAACAGGAUUAGAUACCCCAGUAGUC
rnacentral:rRNA from 1 species